rnacentral:lncRNA from 1 species
CUGAAAUCAGAGUGGAGCUACUUGUUCCAGACCUACUGGAUUAGGACUGGUUCCAGCGCAGUAAUUAAACUCUCCAGGGAGGAUGACAAUAUGCAUUAUGGCAAAUAUGAGGAUUCCCUUCUGUCGUUGAAGUCCAAUAUUGUUCUCGCUGCUUGGUUUUCCUGGAAUUAAUUAUUUUGCUUUAUCCAAUGUUCUGUUUUGAUUGGUUUUAUUCCGUUUUGGUUUGGUUUGAUUUUGCAAUACCUGAAAAAAUGGAUAACUAAUGUAAAACUAAUAAGAUAUACUAUGAUA